rnacentral:rRNA from 1 species
GAUGAACGCUGGCGGCGUGCCUAAUACAUGCAAGUCGAGCGAACAGACGAGGAGCUUGCUCCUCUCACGUUAGCGGCGGACGGGUGAGUAACACGUGUAUAACCCACCUAUAAGUCUGGGAUAACUUCGGGAAACCGGAUCUAAUCCCGGAUGAUAUAUUGAACCGCAUUGUUCAAUAGUGAAAGACGGUGUUGCUGUCACUUAUAGAUGGAUCCCCGCCGCAUUAGCUAGUUGUUAAGGUAACGGCUUACCAAGGCUACGAUGCGUAGCCGACCUGAGGGGGUGAUCGGCCACACUGGAGCUGGGACACGGUCCAGACUCCUACGGGAGGCAGCAGUAGGGAAUCUGCGGCAGUGGGCGAAAGCAUGACGGAGCAAGGGCGCGUGAGUGAUGAAGGUCUUGGGAUCGUAAAAAUCUGUUAUUGGUGAAGAACCAAUGUGUCAGUAGCUAUGCACGUCUUGACGGUACUUGGUCAGAAAGCCACGGCUAACUACGUG